rnacentral:rRNA from 1 species
CGGGCGGGUGAGUAACGCGUGAGUAACCUGCCUCACACUGGGGGACAACAGUUAGAAAUGACUGCUAAUACCGCAUAAGCGCACAGGACCGCAUGGUCCGGUGUGAAAAACUCCGGUGGUGUGAGAUGGACCCGCGUUUGAUUAGCUAGUUGGUGGGGUAACAGCCUACCAAGGCGACGAUCAAUAGCCGACCUGAGAGGGUGACCGGCCACAUUGGGACUGAGACACGGCCCAA